rnacentral:rRNA from 1 species
AUGAACGCUAGCUACAGGCUUAACACAUGCAAGUCGAGGGGCAUCAGGAAGAAAGCUUGCUUUCUUUGCUGGCGACCGGCGCACGGGUGAGUAACACGUAUCCAACCUGCCCUUUACUCGGGGAUAGCCUUUCGAAAGAAAGAUUAAUACCCGAUAGCAUAAUGAUUCCGCAUGGUUUCAUUAUUAAAGGAUUCCGGUAAAGGAUGGGGAUGCGUUCCAUUAGGUUGUUGGUGAGGUAACGGCUCACCAAGCCUUCGAUGGAUAGGGGUUCUGAGAGGAAGGUCCCCCACAUUGGAACUGAGACACGGUCCAAACUCCUACGGGAGGCAGCAGUGAGGAAUAUUGGUCAAUGGGCGCUAGCCUGAACCAGCCAAGUAGCGUGAAGGAUGAAGGCUCUAUGGGUCGUAAACUUCUUUUAUAUAAGAAUAAAGUGCAGUAUGUAUACUGUUUUGUAUGUAUUAUAUGAAUAAGGAUCGGCUAACUCCGUGCCAGCAGCCGCGGUAAUACGGAGGAUCCGAGCGUUAUCCGGAUUUAUUGGGUUUAAAGGGAGCGUAGGUGGACUGGUAAGUCAGUUGUGAAAGUUUGCGGCUCAACCGUAAAAUUGCAGUUGAUACUGUCAGUCUUGAGUACAGUAGAGGUGGGCGGAAUUCGUGGUGUAGCGGUGAAAUGCUUAGAUAUCACGAAGAACUCCGAUUGCGAAGGCAGCUCACUGGACUGCAACUGACACUGAUGCUCGAAAGUGUGGGUAUCAAACAGGAUUAGAUACCCUGGUAGUCCACACAGUAAACGAUGAAUACUCGCUGUUUGCGAUAUACAGUAAGCGGCCAAGCGAAAGCAUUAAGUAUUCCACCUGGGGAGUACGCCGGCAACGGUGAAACUCAAAGGAAUUGACGGGGGCCCGCACAAGCGGAGGAACAUGUGGUUUAAUUCGAUGAUACGCGAGGAACCUUACCCGGGCUUAAAUUGCAGUGGAAUGAUGUGGAAACAUGUCAGUGAGCAAUCACCGCUGUGAAGGUGCUGCAUGGUUGUCGUCAGCUCGUGCCGUGAGGUGUCGGCUUAAGUGCCAUAACGAGCGCAACCCUUAUCUUUAGUUACUAACAGGUCAUGCUGAGGACUCUAGAGAGACUGCCGUCGUAAGAUGUGAGGAAGGUGGGGAUGACGUCAAAUCAGCACGGCCCUUACGUCCGGGGCUACACACGUGUUACAAUGGGGGGUACAGAAGGCAGCUAGCGGGUGACCGUAUGCUAAUCCCAAAAGCCUCUCUCAGUUCGGAUCGAAGUCUGCAACCCGACUUCGUGAAGCUGGAUUCGCUAGUAAUCGCGCAUCAGCCACGGCGCGGUGAAUACGUUCCCGGGCCUUGUACACACCGCCCGUCAAGCCAUGGGAGCCGGGGGUACCUGAAGUACGUAACCGCAAGGAUCGUCCUAGGGUAAAACUGGUGACUGGGGCU